rnacentral:rRNA from 1 species
UUUUGCUUCGGUAAAUCUCCGAGUGGCGAACGGGUGAGUAACGCGUUGGUGACCUGCCCCGAAGUGGGGGAUAACGGCUCGAAAGGGCUGCUAAUACCCCAUGUGGUCGUAGAGGUUAGAGGCUCUACGUCUAAAGGCGUAAUUCGCUUCGGGAUGGGCCUGCGUCCCAUCAGCUAGUUGGUAGGGUAAUGGCCUACCAAGGCGACGACGGGUAGGGGGCCUCAGAGGGUGACCCCCCACAUUGGCACUGAAACACGGGCCAAACACCUACGGGUGGCAGCAGUAGGGAAUAUUGCACAAUGAGCGAAAGCUUGAUGCAGCAACGCCGCGUGCGCGAUGACGGCCUUCGGGUUGUAAAGCGCUUUUCGGGGAGAUGAGGAAGGACAGUAUCCCCGGAAUAAGUCUCGGCUAACUACGUGCCAGCAGCCGCGGUAACACGUAGGAGGCAAGCGUUAUCCGAAUUUACUGGGCGUAAAGCGCGUGCAGGCGGUUCGGUAAGUUGGAUGUGAAAUCUCCCGGCUCAACUGGGAGAGGACGUUCAAUACUGUCGGACUUGAGGACGAUAGAGGGAGGUGGAAUUCCCGGUGUAGUGGUGAAAUGCGUAGAUAUCGGGAGGAACACCAGUGGCGAAAGCGGCCUCCUGGAUCGUUCCUGACGCUCAGACGCGAAAGCUAGGGGAGCGAACGGGAU